rnacentral:rRNA from 1 species
UACGUAGGGGGCAAGCGUUGUCCGGAAUCACUGGGCUUAAAGGGCGCGUAGGCGGGCAUCAUAGUCAGGGGUGAAAUCCUCCAGCUCAACUGGAGAAGUGCCUCUGAUACUGGGUGCCUCGAGGGGUGCAGGGGCGUGCGGAACUUCCGGUGGAGCGGUGAAAUGCGUAGAUAUCGUUUGGAACGCCAAUGGUGAAAACAGGUUGCUGGGAGUGUGCUGACGCUGAGACACGAAAGCCAGGGGAGCGAACGGG